rnacentral:RNase_P_RNA from 2 species
GGGGUCUUACAGAUGAUCGCUGCUGAUAGAGUUCUGCUCUGUCAGGAGAGGAAAGUCCGGGCUUCGCAGAGCAACACAGGGGGUAACGCCCCUCCGUCGUAAGGCGAGGAACAGUGGAACAGAAAGAAUGUCCGGAGCUAUGAUCUCGAGGUUGGGAACGGGAGACCUUGAGGGAGUUGCCGGAGUGAAAACAGCCAAACUCUGUGUGAAGCAAGAUCAAAUAGGGAAGCGCCAACACUCAGCUUGCUGAGGAGUUGAAAAGAACGGCUCGUUCGAGGCUUCCGGGUCAGAUCGCUCGAGCCAACAGGUAACUGUUGGCCUAGAGGAAUGGUCGUCGAAUCGCAUGAGGGAUCGUGGUAACCAAUGCGAGGAACAGAACCCGGCUUAUCGUAAGACCCCGCCA